GGUGACUCUCCGAAGGGGUAUCAAGGCGUGGCGAGCGGACGGUCCUCCACGGGUGAAAACGACAGAGGUUUAUGCCGCGGAGGUUCUGCAUCUCAGCCACACUUUGCCUUCGCUUCUGAGGGGACACACUUGGUACCUUUUCCAGACAUGGGGAACCUCAACAGCUUGGCCACCACACAUGCCGUCUGUGCAGAGAGGAUCUCCACCGUGUCCACCAGAAGCACAGGUGCUCCCUUAAUAUGAUCACGAUUCCCAUCGCUUUUGGCAUCAAUGUUCAAGUGUCUGCUUC